UACGUAGGUGACCAGCGUUGUCCGGAUUUACUGGGCGUAAAGAGCGCGCAGGCGGUCGUUCAAGUCGAGUGUGAAAGCCCCCGGCUCAACUGGGGAGGGUCAUUCGAUACUGAUCGACUUGAAGGCAGGAGAGGGAAGUGGAAUUCCCGGUGUAGUGGUGAAAUGCGUAGAUAUUGGGAGGAACACCAGUGGCGAAGGCGACUUCCUGGCCUGUUCUUGACGCUGAGGCGCGAAAGCUAGGGGAGCAAACGGG
rnacentral:rRNA from 1 species